CAGCACCCCUCUUUUGCUGUCAUUGACAUUUAAACUGUGUGGCAGGUUCUUGCGUGGAAAUUGGCGACUGGAAUCUCCAGGUACCUCCUCCUGGCCGCGGGACCGCCGUGCCCAGGCCCUACGCUCCCGCUGACAGGAUGCGUGCGGCGGAACGCCCGGCCUCCGCCACCGGCAACUAGGAGGGGCUCGCCGGGACCCAGCCUGGAGGAGAUACAAGCGGGACAGCGGAAUCCAAGAUCACACAACCAGCAGCUUCAGUGGAGAAAAACUAUUUUGCUGGCAACUCUUUUUAAAGCACCAUCAUUUCAAAUCAGUGCGCUCUUAAACUAUUGACAGGAGCUUUGACAACAAGACAGGAUGCCUCAUAAAGAGCUUCCCCGGGAACUUUCCAGCCUAGGAGCUCACAAACUUUCUGCCUUUCACAUGAGCCCGUGUCCUCUCGAAAAGCUAAAGCAUCUGACUCGGAAACCAAUGCCAACACCAGCAGCAGUAAUUCCCACGCAGCAUUUGCCGGACAGGGAGACCGUAAGCGCCGGUGUGUGUAUUGCCGAUGCUGCCGGUACACCAGCUCGUAGAGACGGCGAGGCCGGACUCUGGGCCGGGUCGAGGCCAUGCUCAUAGCCCGGGGCUGCCGUCCCGGACGGCCACGGCCCAACCUGGGCUCCGGCCCCACGCCACACCGCGUGGGAAGGAGGGAGGGACGGAGGGAAGGAAACGGUGCCUUGCUGCCCCAGGGCCGGCCCCGUCCGCGGCUUCUGCUUUGUGUUCCUGCGCUCUCGGUUAGAAAACGAUCACCCGCGAUGGUGGGGGGAAAGAAGGAACAAGCAGCAGGGAGAGUUGCGCUGAGGGGAUAAAAAAAUAAAAGCAAAAAUAAUAAAUCACAUCCUAGGCCAAGUCAGCUCCCAGGCGCGGUACAGGCGGGGAGCUGAGCGGAGUUGAAGGGCUGUCAGCUUUAAUCAGCCACCCGAGGAUCUUCCCAACUUGUCCCCAGUGCCGGCAACUUUCCCAGCUCCAGCGCGGGAGAAGCGCCGGGGGCGCGGAUCUUCCUGCACCGCUUUCCGCGGGCCCCAUCGGCCGCCCCCGCACCGCCCCACCCCUCCUCGGCACCGGGGCGCGCCGUAUCCUCUUAGGGAAUAUUUUUUGCCUUUUAAAAUACACGUUUUCGAAAUA